rnacentral:rRNA from 1 species
AGAGUUUGAUCCUGGCUCAGGACGAACGCUGGCGGCGUGCUUAACACAUGCAAGUCGAACGGAGGUAUUUAUUUCGGUAGAUAUCUUAGUGGCGAACGGGUGAGUAACGCGUGAGCAACCUGACCUAAAGAGGGGGAUAACAUUCGGAAACGGAUGCUAAUACCGCAUAAGACCACAUUGUCACAUGACAGAGGGGUCAAAGGAGCAAUCCGCUUUGGGAGGGGCUCGCGUCCCAUUAGGUAGUUGGUGAGGUAACGGCCCACCAAGCCUGCGAUGGGUAGCCGAGCUGAGAGGCUGAACGGCCACACUGGAACUGAGACACGGUCCAGACUCCUACGGGAGGCAGCAGUGGGGAAUAUUGGGCAAUGGGCGCAAGCCUGACCCAGCAACGCCGCGUGAGGGAAGAAGGUUUUCGGAUUGUAAACCUCUGUCCUUGGGGACGAAAAAAAUGACGGUACCCGAGGAGGAAGCCCCGGCUAACUACGUGCCAGCAGCCGCGGUAAUACGUAGGGGGCGAGCGUUGUCCGGAAUUACUGGGCGUAAAGGGUGCGUAGGUGGCCUUUUAAGUUGGAUGUGAAAUACCCGGGCUUAACCUGGGGGGUGCAUCUAAUACUGGGAGGCUAGAGUGCAGGAGAGGAAAAAUGGAAUUCCAUGUGUAGCGGUAAAAUGCGUAGAUAUAUGGAGGAACACCAGUGGCGAAGGCGGUUGCCUGGACUGUAACUGACGCUGAGGCACGAAAGCGUGGGGAGCAAACAGGAUUAGAUACCCUGGUAGUCCACGCUGUAAACGAUGGAUACUAGGUGUGGGAGGUAUCGACCCCUUCCGUGCCGCAGUAAACGCAAUAAGUAUCCCGCCUGGGGAGUACGGCCGCAAGGUUGAAACUCAAAGGAAUUGACGGGGGCCCGCACAAGCAGCGGAGCAUGUGGUUUAAUUCGAAGCAACGCGAAGAACCUUACCAAGGCUUGACAUCCACUUUAACUGCAGAGAUGUGUCCUCCCCUUCGGGGGCAAGGGAGACAGGUGGUGCAUGGUUGUCGUCAGCUCGUGUCGUGAGAUGUUGGGUUAAGUCCCGCAACGAGCGCAACCCUUGUCUUUAGUUGCCAGCACUUCGGGUGGGGACUCUAGAGAGACUGCCGGUGAUAAACCGGAGGAAGGUGGGGAUGACGUCAAAUCAUCAUGCCCCUUAUGGCCUGGGCUACAAACGUAAUACAAUGGCGUAUACAAAGGGAUGCGAAAGGGUGACCUGGAGCAAAACUCAGAAAAGUCGUCCCAGUUCGGAUUGUAGUCUGCAACUCGACUACAUGAAGUUGGAAUCGCUAGUAAUCGCGAAUCAGAAUGUCGCGGUAAAUGCGUUCCCGGGUCUUGUACACACCGCCCGU